GACAUAGGUGGCGAACGUUAUCCGGAAUUAUUGGGCGUAAAGGAUGCGUAGAUGGCAGAAUAAGUUAUUGGUCGAUGCCAAACUCAAUUUGGCGGAAGCUAGUAAUACUGUUCUGCUAGAGGGCAGGAGAGGUUGAUGGAAUUCUGUGUGGAGCGGUGAAAUGCGUAGAGAUCGGCAGGAACACCCAGGGGGAAACCAGCCGACUGGGCAUCUACUGACGCUGAGGUGCGAGAGCGUGGGGAGCGAACCGG
rnacentral:rRNA from 1 species